UGACCUCGGAUCAGGUAGGAGUACCCGCUGAACUUAAGCAUAUCAAUAAGCGGAGGAAAAGAAACCAACAGGGAUUGCCUCAGUAACGGCGAGUGAAGCGGCAAGAGCUCAA
rnacentral:rRNA from 1 species